rnacentral:lncRNA from 1 species
GCCUUUCACCUACACUACUCUGAAACCUAGAAACAAAAAUCCUGCCCCAUUGCUCCUGCUUGGUUCUGGGUGCAGGGGUACUAGCUGAAGAUGGCUUUGGCAUAGAUGAGUGACCCUGAAACUGCGAACGAUUUCCUCCUCCAGACCUUGGUUGGCCAUACUCAAACUGUCCAGUUCUAGCCGUUUUAUUUCUCCUCUCUUUCUUUUAUUCUUUCUGCCUCAAUCUGCUGAGCAUGAGUCACCAACCUAGCAAUAUCCAACAAUAAGCAUGGCAGUCCUACACUUUUUGACUACCAAAUCCGACACUUCAGUAACAAACUUACUCAUAUUAGAUCUAGGGUUAACUACCAACUCGGGAGCAUACAUAGACAACUGAGUGAACCUAAGGCAGUACUCCUUCACCAUCAUCGAGUCCUGCCUCAGGUUCAUGAACUCCUCAACCUUGGCUUUUCUCAUCUCACGCGGAAAGAACCUGUCCAGAAAUGCAUCCUGAAACACCUGCCAACUCAUAGGAGCUGCAUCCUCACCUCUACCUCCCUUCCACAUAAUCCAAUCAUAGGCAACAUCCUUCAUCCUUCAGCCUAUAGGAUACCAAUUUUACACUCUCCUCCUCAGUAACAUGCAUAAUUUGAGUGAUCUUUCUCACCUCAUCAAUGAAGAGCUAUGGAUCCUCAUUAACCUUUGACCCAAAGAAUGCAAGUGGAUUCGUUCUCAUGAAGUCACGAAUUCUGGCUGCAACUAAAUCACCAUUCUGCUGAAGUGGGAUUGCAGCCUGAUGGUUGCCCUGAACAUUGGCAGUCACAGCUUAGGCCAUCGCCUUGAAGGCAGCCCGAAAUUCAGCAAGAGACACAAUCUCAUUCAGAGGGUUGGCUUGCAUUGGUGGUUGGCCACUGUUUCUGCGUGCAUUGGCUCGGCGAGGAGGCAUAAUCUGUCACGUAAAAGCACAAGUUAAAGCAGAUUGAGACAACUAUAAGCACAAUAGAUCAUUAAAGGAAAGGAUGAUUCCUAACUCGUUCUAUAGCCUCUUGCUAAUAAAUGUGGCGCGCUUCACACCCAUGAUCAAGACUCUACGUAAUGAGGCUUGUCUGACUCCCUAGGACUCAUUAAACCUUAGGCUUUGAUACCAAGUUUGUAACGCCACAGAAGUAUAACCGAGAUGUCACACGGUGUUCAAGACUACAAGUUGCCCCGAGCUAACCCUUUUGCCUUUAAACAGUGAUAAAUUACAAUGUCUCUAUUUGAGAGUUUCACCAAAGGGUGAAAAGGCUGAUAUGGCUACUGUUUUCAGAGCUUACAAGCAAUAUUUACAAUCCAACAAGGGAUCAAAAAGUUGAAAAACUACCUAGCCUGAACUACUUCAGCCAUCAACAUGGACUCACAGCAAAAAGGGAUGGUUAUAAGGAUUUUCUGCAUUGCAUACACCUGUAUAGCUUGCUAUUUUCCAAUCAUUCGUGGGUCCAAGCAUCCCAGAAUCUUCCUCCCUGCCAUAAUUGGAGGUAUGCAGAGUGUCAAGGAACAGAUGAGCUCAGUACAAGUAAACACACGAGGGUCUUACUUACUUGGAGAGAUAACAACUAUCAGGGACUUCUAACCCUCAACAGAGCACAAAAAGAGGUCUUUUUCCCUUCCACAGGAGAUCACAGCUACAAAAUGAUUCAAGGUCAGGAUUAAAUGAAGUUCAAAUUCAUAAAAAUAGAAGAGGUAAGUUACACUCACACUUGAAAGCUGAUAAAGACAACAACCAUGAUGAACCAAGGAGUAGCAUUAAGGACCCAAAGGAGCUUCAUCAAGAAUUGAAGAUUGAAGAAUGGGAAGCAACUCAUUUCUUAGCUCAAUCGGCGUUGGAAUGGAAGUCACAGAUAGGAAACCCUACUGAUAAGGGUAUGUGUAAUAAAGUGGACCCUUUAGGCCGGAUCGGGUUGCAGACUGGGCCAUUUCAAGUUGGAUAUGUUUUUAUUUUAUAUGGGUUGGUCCAUAUCAUUGUAAAGACAAUUUGUUUUGGAUGAAUUUAUAAAAUACCAAAUUAAAUGAAAAAAAAAUCCAAGUGCAUCUUGAAAAUCAACAAUGAAACUAACAAAGUAACAAAAUCCUUGAACUAAUGAGAAAAUAGACUCUGAAUGACUCUCAGUACGACGUGAAAAUAUAGCACGGGUGUGUUUCCCAAGUUGACACGACUCACAUUCUAAUGUGGAUAAACUAGGUACUAUCUUCUGUAGUUUGGAUAGACUUGGAUGGCUCAAACGUUUGUGAAUAAGAUCUGGAGGGUCUAUAACUGAGCAUGCGAUGUAGGAAUUUGAAGGGGUAAAAUGGCAAAGACCUUGUGAUUCAUGUCCUGUGCCAAUCGUUUGUCCCGUUUGUCCUCGGAACGAAGAGUCGAGGCUACUGGAAAAAGGAACUGCCGAAAAAGUUGUCGGAAAAUGCUCCACGCGCCAGCGUGUGGACUGGCGUGCUUGCCGGAGAAUAUCUUCUGGUGGCGCGUGAGGGCGCAAUUGACAUCUGUUCUCGGCAAGUCUGAUUGGGGUUUGCUUGCCGGGAAGUUUUGAACCUGAUGGUGGUGUUGGUUUGUUUUGAAAUACACCGACGAAAAAUAUAUUUAUUUGGACAACUACUUCUGUUAUUGGAAAACGACACAGUGACACUGGAAUGAAAUUUUUCUCACGAAUGCUCUGAUUCCAUGUGAUAAUGAAGAAAAAAUAUUAUUAAUGAAUCGUGUAAUUACAUUAUUACAAGAGGCCCUAUUUAUACACACUAUAUUCAAAUCCUUUUUCAAGUAGGACUCGAUAUGCUAUUCCUAUUCCUACACUCAUAUUCUUUCCUAUUCCUACACUCAUAUUCUAACAUUUACAUUGGUCGUAAGUCGAUGUGUUCAGCUAAUUCAUAAUUCCCUCCUCUUCACUAGCUACCAUUUCAGCAUGAAGGGUAUGUCGUGUAAAAUUGUUUUACCACUUGAAUAGAGUAACCUCUGCUGUUUCGGAGGAAAAUGAGGAAUUUUUUCUUACCUCUUUCAUUGGUGGAAGUGACCAAUUUCUAACUAAAAUGUUGUUUCAGGCUCUGCAUUGAGGUUUAAAACUUUUACACAUUUCCCCGAACUUUUGGUUCAUCAAUCUUUGGACUGAUCGGCUCCAAGCAUGCAAUUUUUAUUGAUGUUAUGUUUUAUUUGUGAUAAUGAGUUAAUUUACUAAAAUAAUUGAAUUUGGAUUAAACCUGCCCUAUCUGCAUCUGUUGCAUCCAUGAUACGCCUGAAAACCAUCAUUAGCUGUGAUAAGAUCUGGAUUUAUAUCUCCCAUUUCCAUGGUUCAUUUCCUGCAUAUAUUGUAGCUUUAAACUUGUCAGGGCUCUGUUUCAGGGCAGAAAAAUGUCAAAAACAUUGGGGAAUGCCUUAGAUCCCACUGACACAAUUGCAGAGUAUGGAACCGAUGCUUUGCGUUUCACUCUUGCCUUAGGGACUGCCGGUCAGGUUUAUAAUGAGCUCAUUUUUAGUCACUAAAUCAUGGGUAGACAUCUUUCUUUUUCUGCAAUGGUGUCCACUUGGAUGCUUUCAUCAUCCAGCUUAUCUCUUUGUUACAGGAUCUAAAUUUGUCCACAGAGAGGUUGACCUCUAACAAGGCAUUCACCAACAAAUUGUGGAAUGCUGGCAAGUUCAUAUUGCGGAAUUUGCCUCGUCAGGAUGACACUCCUACUUGGGAAGCCUUACGGGCACAUAAGGUUUGUCAAUUUUGGUGUUUAAACCCAAUUAUAUGUUUCUUUUCAACUAUUCUUCGAGAUCUGUGGGUGAGAAGCAGUUAGACACUAAUAAAUAAGAUUGUUUGAGAGAGCAGCCGUACAUAUUAAAAAAGAAAAAAAUUCUGAAAGAAAUGAGAUAAGUGUCAUGUUAUGACAAAGAAAAUGCAUUGAGUCAGAGAUUGUCAUUGUGUCAGAUUGAGUUUGGUGAUCCACUUAACUGUCAGAUUUAGAGUGAGCUUCGUGAUCAGCAUGGGCUUAAAGACUAAAGAGCUUAAUCCUGGUUGUUGGCAUAAUACUCAAAACAUGUCAAAUUUGAUUUAUUUUGUUUCCAACAUAGGCUGGCAAAGUAGAAAUUUUUUCUGUUAAAUAAUUUGGUGUAUUCCUGCGUCUCUGAAUGUUGAAGUCCUGUUCUUUGAGAAUUCUCAAAUCUAUGGCCUACAAAUUCACAGUCUAGAACAAAGUUAAUCUAAAAGAAUCGUGUUCCACCGUAGCCCAAUUUGUGGUGUUCAAAUCAAGAUCCUUGGUUUCUAUGUAGACUCUAGAAUAAGAAAAUUGGUUUCUUGGAAUACAGUGGAGUUACUUCUUCCAUAUAUCUUAGAUUGGUAAUUUACCGGGAGCUUUAGUGAUCAAAUAAAAGAUUAGAAGUCAUUCCGAGGUUUCCAAGGGUCAAGAGUUGAGUUCUGUUUUAAUUCCUUGGUCCGUGCCAACUAUAUAUCAUUCAGAAUUCUAAUCUAUUUCACUAUUUUCUGUUCUCAGUUUGAUAAAAUGGAGUUCGUGCUGAAGCUCCCACUACCUGAAUGCUGGGUGGUAAUAUGAUGUUUUUGAUGCUUAUUAAGCCCAAUAUUGCAUAGUGGUCCUGUUUUAAGUAGUUUUACACCAUUCAGGUAUCGAAGCUUCAUAUACUUAUUGAUGAAGUCACUGCAAGUUAUGAUAAAUUUUUCUUUGGAGAUGUUGGAAGAGAAAUAUAUGACUUCUUUUGGUCUGAUUUUGCUGAUUGGUAUGUUCUUCCUAGUAUUUUUGGGGCUUUUACUUUGUUUCCAUUUUAGUAUUGUGACUCUUCUGUUUAAACAAGACAUUAUCCAAUAUCUGAAGUCCUAACCAUCUAGGACCGGAAAUAACUUUCAUUGAAGAUCAAUAUGUAGAAGGAUGUUGCUGCUGGUGGGCAGAAAUUUAAUUAGUUGGUCAUUCUUACACUGACGGAUCUAAAGUUUGAAGUUUAUGGGUUCUUUCAGAGACCUCAAGCUAAUACAUAUUAUAGAUACUUAGUUAAUUUCUUACUACAUAUACAGGGCUUAAACAAAAGUUGUUGGGUUCACGUGAACCCAUAAUAAUCAUUGUAGAUAAGCCUCUGCAAUACAUUAUCUAAAAUCUGAAGGAGAGACUAUUUUUAUUGAAGAGUAAUACGUAGAAAGAAUGAUAGUGCUGGUGGUCAUGGGAAUUAAAUUUGUAGUUCAUUCUUACGCUCUUGCAUGGUGAUUUGCCUUGUUCAUGCUUGAAGAACUAGCCCUUUGUGAGUUAAAAUAGAGGUCAUUACCCCAGGUCAGUACAAUAACUUAAUGAUACGUGUGUAGGUGUAUUAUGAUUAAAGUUAAAUUACAGUGAUAAGAGUACGUAAGCUUAACCGUGAAAAAAGGUUAUGAUGAUUUUACUUCCCUUUCAUCAUGAUACUAGAUAUCUAAUUCUACCAUGAAUUAGUAACGAUAAAGUGAUUUCUGAUUCAUUUGGUUUGAGCAAAAUGUAAGAAACUCUGUCAAACUGCUUACAUCCUUUAUCUCUUCUUUGCUCACCAGCCAGGUCUCUUGUUUUUCCUUAGUGAACUGGGAUAUGCUAAAUUUUAACUGCUAACGAAUUUGGGUAAGAAUGGGAUAUACUUUUCUAACAAUAUACCAGUAAUGCUCCUUAAAGAUGCAACCUUUAACGUCAUGGCAUUUGUGGGUGUGUUGUAACUGGAGUAGUAUUGUAGACUACAUCUGAGUCUUUUAAACACAAAAUCUGGUCCUGGACAGCUUUAGUUCAUUGCUUGCAAGUGUCAGGCAGAACCUGUUGGAGGUUGGUGAUAGGUAGGUAAUCUACAUUUUGUUUGGUUCAUAUAAGUGAGACAAAUGGAAAGGGGAGGUGGACAUGCGUAUAUUCCAAGGCAAGUAAUGUUCACUUAUCUUUUCUGUCCAGUUUUAGAGGGGUUGAAAAAACUAAUGUAGGAGCGUAAAUUUCCCUCCACGCUCCGCUUGCUCUUUACUUCUGAGUAAAGAAAAAACAUAGAACUGACCUGCUCUGUUUCAUUUUUUCCCCUUUAAUUCAUCCUAUCUUCUUCUAGACCUAAGCUGAAGAUAGUAUAGCUUAUAGUUUUUUUCUCUCUUCUUUCCCUGAAUCCCUGUCUAUUUUUCAAGGUACAUUGAAGCUAGUAAAGCUCGUCUGUAUCACUCUGGAGAUUACUCUGUUGCUUCUGUAUCACAAGCAGCUCUGCUAUACAUUUUUGAGAACAUUCUUAAAUUGCUACAUCCAUUUAUGCCUUUCGUAACUGAGGAGAUCUGGCAGGUGAUGUGAUAUGUCCCAUUAGUUUGUGCUUUGAUCAGUCACUUUUAUUGUUUUGUAUAGGUUUGCUUAAUGUCAAAUCUGAUGAUCCAAGAUGAGUGAGGAUUAUGCGAUCAGAUAUUAAUGAGAACCUGCAAUCUAUGGGACAGAGUUUCUUACUCCACAAAUCUUAAUAUUACAGUGGAAUAACAAAAGAUCCAUAUCAUUUGCCUCUUGGUAACUAAAUCUUACAUGAAAAUAUGUGAGAUGUAUGAAUUAUCUUAAUUUAAGUUAGUUUACAAUGAGGUAGUUCUUUUUUUGUUUUUUCCACUUAAAAAUAGGUGUUUCAUUGAGGCAACUUUGAAGGAGAUAAAGCUUGUUAAAUAGAGUAGUCAAAACGAGAAUCCAACAUAACACCCCCCGGGGUGUGGCCCUUCCCCGCACCCUGCAUGAACACUAGAUGUUUCGUGCACUGUGCUGCCUUUUAAAAAAAGAAAAGCGUAGAAAGGCUCUCUGCUGGCGCUUUAAGCGCCUAGUGCAAUUGAAACUUUAGGUGAAUAAAGCACUAAUUAAGACAAACAAAAGUUAAAAUGUAAUACAAGAAAAUAUUACUACGAGCAGAAAUAACAAUUAUUUGGACACAAGAAUUGACCAAACUACAAUUAAGCAAAAUAUAGGAAUAGAAUUAUGUCAAUCAAGUUCACAAACCAUUUUAAAUUUUUAACUAGAUGAAGGUAUGUAGUUUUAACUUCUUAGUAUUUAGUUGAGUAUUUGAUGGUUAGUUUUCUUUUUCUAAAUCUCUAAUUUCUUAUACCUAAUUACUAGCAAUUCAAUCAAAAUAUUUUGUUUACAAUUACUUUGUUAACCAUAUUUACAAGGUUGAAGAGGUACAAGCUUGGUGCCAACUAAGCGAAGUGAAAUGCACAAUAAGCACUUCACUGUGCUCCAAAGCUUAAACAUAUCUUAGGCGAGCUUUUUAACAACAGUUACUAUCAUUUAUAUGACAGCCAACCUCUGGUGAAUGCAACCCGACUGACCCAAAAGAAAAGGGAAAAAGAAAUGAGCAACUUAUAGUUUAUCAAUACUUUUCAGACAAAGUCACAAGUAUAUUAAGCUUAUAAAUUCUAAUUCUGAUCGAUAACUUUGGGUCCUAAUCCUCUCUCAACUAAUUUGCAUCUUUUGGGGUCAUAGUCAACCAACUUAUUACCAUUCUUUAGCAUAAUCAUGUCUGCGAUCAUUUCAAAAAAGUAAUAUCAUAUCUGUGAAAGGUCUAGUCCCUGUGAAUCUGCACUAUCAAUUGAAAUGGCAUGCAAAAAAUACUUCUUUGUUUUAUGUUGCUUGACCUUCCACCUAACUGUCAGAUUCCCUAGGCUGUGAUUUCCCGAAAUGCGUUAGUAUCUUAAUCAGUUAGCAGAAACUGGUAAGUCAUUCAACUAUGACUUAUUUGAUCGGGUUUCUUCUUUUAGGGGUAUUUGCUUGUGUUAUUGAUCUGAGUCCUGUUGCUUUAUAGUAAAACUAGAAAAGAAAAUAGACUGCAAAAUUUGGAAGUGGUAGUAAAUAAUUGAUGAAUUAUUGUCAAUGUUAAAGCUGAUAUAAAUUUCUAAUUCUGAUAAAAAAUAGCUGAAGUGUGGUAUCCACUUUCAAAUAAAAAAGGAAUUGAAAGUGGGUACCUGUUUUUUCCCAAUCUUGGUUAACAUUGGAAAAAAGUUAAGAUUCUUAUAUCAGCUUCAAUGUUGAUGUUACUGUUCAAUUAUUCUUAAUAUAUUUCUAAAUAUCAGCUUUAUUUGGCCACAGGCCUACAAGCUGAUGAGGGUUGUAGUAACUUGGCCUACUCCAAAAUCUGGAAAAUCUUAUAAGAACAUCUAGUUUUUGCUUCAACCGCGAAAUAGUUUAAGGGUACAUGCUGUUCCCAUUGCAGUUUGACUCUCUUGUUCCUGCAGGCAUUACCCAGUAGAGGGGAGGCUCUCAUAGUAUCUGCGUGGCCACCUACCUCACUUCCCAGGAAUAUUGAUUCCAUAAAAAAGUUCGAGAAUUUACAGGCAUUUGUGAGUUUGACUUUCAGUUUCUUUUUUGUCAUAAUUUUCAUUAUCUUUAAUUUUAGUUAUCCUGGAUAAUUUGUCCCUUCCAUCAAUUCAGACUAGAGCCAUCAGAAAUGUCCGCGCAGAGUAUGCAGUUGAGCCAGCAAAGCUUAUUUCUGCAUCUAUCGUUGCAAAUACAGAUGUCAUUCAGUAUAUCUCUGUAAGCUCAGCUCUCCACUUUAUUCAUUUUCCUGUGUUAUUAAUCAAGAGAAAUGACAAAGUGCAGGCCCACUUAAAAUUUUUGGACCCAUGGAAAUUUAAUCAGAUUAAUGAAAUUUUAGGUUUAAAUAGUCCUAGGUUCAAAAUAUGUCUAGAUACGGAUUUUUGUAGGAGAUACUGAAGGAUAUUCCAUAACAUUUGAUACGACAUUAUAAGUAUUUUGUCUCUACAAUCAGAAUAAUUACAUCCCUUAUUAUUCAGUUUUUGAUCGAUACAGACCAUAUUGUUCAUAGACUAAGAUUGUCAACCAAGGAGCCUGCUUUGACAUUGUUGAUAAUCAAUUCAAUAGGAACUAUUAUCUCAUCUUUUCCUCCUUUUUUGCACGGACAAACAGAAUGUUGAUCCAUCUCUUUCUAUUCUAAUUCCUCUCCCUUCAUUCCUCGGAUCUGCUUGUAAAUUCUUGGUGUGAUACUCACUCGUAAAUGAUUGGUGUCAGAAUUUCUCACUAAUCAGGUGUGAUCAGUCUCAUCCAUGUAAGAAUUAGGAAUUCCUCUUCCAACUCGUCCCAUUGCUAUCAUGUUUCAUGAAACGGAUACAUGUUGAAGAAAAUAUUUUCUCUAUAUUCUGGAAGACUACACAUACAAAAUUUGAAGGUUAGAAAUGAUCUCAGUUAAUAGUGAGUGUAAGUAGUACAUAGAUAAUUUGAUAAGAUUAGGAAUGAUCACAUAUGAAAUAUAGUGUAAGUAGCACAAAGUUACUUUUCAUAGUCAAAAAGCUCCCAGGCACUUUUCCCGAGACAAUCUUUUGGAAGCCCCUUCAGGGCUUCUGAAAUUCUACUCCGGUGGUCCUUCACCAUCGGAGACUAUCUCCAAAUCAUUCAAAAUACCAUAAUCUUCCGUUUUUUUCCCCUUGGAAAUGGAUAAUCGAGUGUUUUUCAGAAUGGGGACCAAAUCUUAUGACAUCACAGCCUACUUUUCAGACAUGUAUAUGGUUUGACUGGGUAGAGCGCGCGAAACUCUCAAUGAUAAGGAUGACAAUCAGUAGGGGAGUCCUAAUCUGGCUGUGUAAGAUGUUGCGUGAAGCAUCGGAAAACAGGGGGAAUAACUUUAAGUCUUGGAGAUGCAGAGACUUGGCAACACAUAUAUAUUGCACUCAAAAGGUCAAUAAAUAUGGACGUUUCAUCUCAAUCAUUGCUGUUAAGGGACAGAACAGAACCGUGAUCAUAUUACCUGAGAACCAAUUUUAUAAGCGGUGGGAAAGAGUGGCAAACAAAAUUGAUGAUCUCAUUGACAGAGUGUCAAUUACACAGGGCAAAUUCAUUACAGAAACGGAUACAAAUAGGAACAUCAUUACGGGGCGGGUAAACUUUAAAGGAGCUAUUACAAAAAACAGAUGGGACCAGAGGAAGGAUGCAGGUGGAGAGGAUCCCAUAAAGGGAGCAAAAAAUCUCAAUCAGGAGGAAAAAUCUCUGCUUCGGAGAUGCCUGGUUGGUACAUUCACCGGUGGAGAAGAAACUCCCACUUGCAAUGACGUUAGAAGGUGGGCAACUCAGACUUGGAAAGGAGUCCCAAACCUUCAGGUCUAUGACAUGGAUGGAUUCAAUUUUUUGUUCGAGUUCCAAACAAGUAGAGCAGCUGAUCACAUUCUGAUGGGAGAAUGGAAUCCAACAAAAAUAGCCCUUCCAGACACUACGAGAUUUGAUUGCUACUGGAUCAGGUUUUUGGGUCUCCCUCUGCAACUAUGGAAUUCUGAUAAUAUGAAAAAGAUUGGUGAUGAAUGUGGAGGGUGGCUGGAGAAUGAAGAAGAGACUGAGCUCAGAAACCACUUGAGAUGGGCCAGAAUCAGAGUAAAAGGACCAAGGGAAAAAAAUCCCGUUCUCCAUUGAAGUCGAUGAUGAAAAUCUGACCUUUUCUCUGCCGAUAUGGUGUGAGGAACCAGCAACUUACCGGAAAAGAUCACCGGAGAAGAUGAACGACGAUGACAGGUUAAAAGAAAAUAAGUCAAAUCCUAGCACAGCUAUGCCUAUGGAGGCUUUUCACAACAGAGGAAUGAAGUUUACUGAAGAGAGUAUAUCGAAAUACGAGAUAAGCAAAAAAAGGGAAAGGUGGACUGACAAGGGGCAUAUGCUUUCUGUGGGGUCCCACUUAGGAGAGCGGGAGUUGUGUGUAGGAGGACCUAGUUGUGGACAGCUGGAAAGAGAGAUGGGCAGAGAGAAAGAAAUUCAAAAUCAGGGUUUUUGUGGUGGACCAGGAAAACACUUCAUUUAAUUUGAAAGGCAAUCAAGCCCAACUGAUUCAGGCCCACAACAAAAGAAGAAGCCCUUUAUAGAUCCUUUUACGGAGUUCAUUAACAGAACAAAUACAAAGGCAUGCAAGAGUCUGUAUUUUGUUUAUUUCAAAGGGGAGGACGAACUCAAUAUAGAAGCAACAGAGAGAAGGAAAAAAGAGAAGAACGUGCAGCUGAAUCAAAAGCAAUUAGACGUACACGUCCACAAAAAAGGGGAAUCAACAAUGAAGAACAAUGAAGGAAAAAGAAUUAAAGAGGAGGAGGUGGACUUUUCGGAAUCUCUUCUAGUAAUGUGUGCAGAACCGGAACCUUUACAGGUUAUCAACAGUGCACAAGAGGAGGAUCUUGCUUCAGCUGCUACAAAUUGGGUUCAAACAAAUAUGAUCAAACUUGGACGACAGUUUGGAGUAGAUUUUAAAGAGUGUAAAAAUGAAGCCUAUACGAUGUCAAACAAGAUGGAUCAAAGGAGGAACAAGGAGAAAGGACAAAGGGAGAGCUUACAGGACUCAAGCUCUAAAACUAUAGUUCCAAAAGAGGUGAGGAAUCUGUUUUUUGACAUGAACUUCAAAGAUGGGGAACCAAGAUCUAAUGGGAGAAUGCUAGCUUUAACAAAUCAAUGAAAGUAAAGCUAGUAUCAUGGAAUGUGAGGGGGUUAAAUAGGGUGAAAAAGGGACACGGUUAGGAAAUUACUAUGUCAAUGGGAUGCGGAUAUUUAUGUUCUAGUUGAAACAAAGCUAGAAGGUCUUGUAGAUGGUAUGCUACGAAGUAUAUGGAGUAAUACAUGGGUGGGGGAAUUUCAUAAAGAGGCUGUAGGGAGCAGUGGCGGAAUCUUAGUUCUAUGGGAUAAAAGGGUGUGGAUAGGAGAAAUGAUGAAGGUUGGUGAUCAAAGUGUUACUGGGAAAUUCACUGGGGUAAAUGAUGAUUUUAGCUUUUCCAUCACUGCAGUCUAUGCAAAUUGCAAUAGAAGAAUCAGGAAGAUAUUGUGGAAGGAGUUGGUAACUAUCAGAAGUAGAUAUAGUGGGCCAUGGGUAGUGUGCGGCGACUUUAAUAUUACCAGAUUCCCUUUUGAAAGAACAAAUUGUACGAGACUGAAUGGUGCUAUGGUAGAGUUUUACUCAUGUAUCGAGGAACUGGAGCUGGUUGAUCCUCCUUUAUUUGGAGGAUCAUAUACCUGGAGGGGAGGAGAGAAUAACAAAACUGCUUCAAGGAUUGAUAGAUUCCUACAUUGUACACAAUGGGGGGAAAGUUUUUUACAGAUCAGGCAAGAUGUGCUACCAAGACUGACUUCCGAUCACAACUCCAUUGCCUUGACAUGUGGGGACUGGGAGUGGAGGAAAACCUACUUCAAAUUCGAAACAUGGUGGCUGGAAGUGAAGGGAUUCAAUGACAAAGUAAAAGAAUGGUGGAACUCCUUCAAUGUUUAAGGAGGAGCAGGCUUCAUACUAGUGGAAAAGUUGAAGUUACUAUAGGCUGAAUUGAAAAAGUAGAGUAGGGACAACAAAGGUAACUGGAAGCAAAGAAAAGAGGACAUUUUGAACUAGAUUACAACCCUAGAAAACGUCCAGGAACACAGAAUCCUCACUGAUGAUGAAGUUAUACAAAAGACCAAUUUGGCGAUGGAGUUUGAAGAGAUAGUAAAAAAUGAGAAGAUAGCUUGGAAACAAAGGUCAAGGAUACAAUGGUUGAAGAGUGGUGAUAAGAACACAAAGUUCUUUCAUAGAAUUACAACUUCACACAGGAGGUUCAAUUUUAUGGAACAACUUCAAGUGGAAGGAGUCAUGGUGAAAGAUCCAAUUAUAAUCAAGGAGGCAGUGCACGAUUUCUACAUGAAUCUAUUCAAAGAGUCUGAACAAUGGAAACCUGAUCUUAACAUACCAGAUGUCACUAUGAUUUCUGAGGAGGAACGAACUUGGUUGCAAAAACCUUUUGAAGAGGAAGAAAUUCAAGAAGGGAUUAGAUAUGAUCAACACUCUGUCUGAUUUCUACUCCAAUCAUACUUUUGAAAAGAAUUUCAAUGCAACUUUUAUAGCUCUAAUCCCUAAAAAGGUGGGAGCUUCGGAGUUGAAUGAUUAUAGACCAAUCAGUCUAAUAGGAGGGGUGUACAAGAUCAUAGCUAAGUUGCUGGCAGAAAGGCUUAAAAAGGUGGUGAGCAAGCUGGUAAAUAAAAAUCAAAUGGCCUUUAUAAAGGGAAGACAAAUCAUGGAUACCGCACUCAUAGCCAGUGAAUGUAUAGACUCUAGGAUGAAAAGUGGAGAUGCAGGGCUACUAUGCAAAUUGGACAUCCAGAAAGCUUAUGACCAUGUAAAUUGGUCCUUCCUUCUCAACAUCUUGAAACAAAUAGGUCUUGGUAGCAAAUGGUUGAAAUGGAUAUAAGCUUGUAUAAAGACGGUGAGAUUUUCAGUUUUAGUUAAUGGUGAACCAGUUAAAUUCUUUCCAUCUGUAAGAGGGUUCAGACAAGGGGAUCCUCUAUCCCCUUUUCUCUUUAUUUUGGCAAUGGAAGGAUUUGAUAGCAUGAUGAGAAUAGCUAUACGAUAGAGAUGGAUCAGAGGCUUUCUUAUAGGGGACACGCUAGGAGUGAGAAAAGAGAUCAGUCACUUACUAUAUGCAGAUGAGACCAUUAUCAUGUGUGAGCCAGAGGAGGAGCAAUUGAAUUACAUCAGGUUGAUCCUGAUCAUUUUUGAAGCAGUAUCAGGUCGAAGGGUAAAUUGAGGAAAAAGUUGUUUGAUUCCUAUCAAAGAUGUACCUCAGAUUCAUGAAUUGGUUACUGGGAUGCAAAAUUGAGGGAUUGCCAACCACGUAUUUGGGUAUGCUCGUAGGAAGCAAACACAAAGCAGUGGAGAUAUGGGAUGGGAUCCUAGAGAAAGCAGAAAAGAAACUGACUCGAUGGAAAUCACAAUAUAUCUCUUUGGGGGGUAGAAUGGUUUUGAUUAAUCCUGUCUUGGACUCUCUUCACACUUAUGUGAUGUCCUUAUUCCCUAUUCCUUUAAAAGUGGUCAAAAUACUAGAUAGACUUCGAAGGAACUUUCUCUGGCAAGAGGGCAAAGAAAGCAAGGGUUAUUACUUAGUGAAAUGGAAUAGUGUCAUGUUGAGCAAAGAUAGAGGAGGCUUGGGCAUCAGAAACCUAAGUAUUCAAAAUAAAAAUCUUCUAAUGAAGUGGUUGUGGAGGUACAUCAGCGAAGAGAGAACUCUUUGGAAGGAGGUGAUAGUAGCAAAGUAUGGUGAGUUGAACCCCUGGUGCACAGAGGCAGUCACAUUACCAUAUGGAUGGGGAGUGUGGAGAACUAUAAAAAAUUUGUGAAUUUGCAUGGAAAAAAAUGUGAUUCUCAAAGUAGGAAAUGGCAACAAGUUCAAGUUUUGGAAAGAUGGUUGGAUUGAUCAAAAUCCUUUGAGUGCGUUAUUUCCGGACCUCUUCUCAAUUAGCACCAAUCCAGAAAGUAGGGUCAAUGAAUGUUGGUUUGCACACGGGUGGAAUCUCUCUUUCAUAUGGCUACUCAAUGACUGGGAAGUAGAUAGGGUGGCUCUCCUACUGGAAAAGCUGGAAGGAACUAAACUAGACACAAAUGUACCAGACAAGAUCAUUUGGAAACACAACAAGGAUGGAAAGUUCAUAGGUAAUAGUGCAUACAAACAAGGGAUACAAUUGGGACCUGGAAAUAAUAACCAUCAAUGGAAGACCAUAUGGAGAGACUUGAUUCCUAUAAAGGUGAAGUGUUUCACGUGGCUAGUGAUCAAAAGAGCAUGUCUUACCCAAGAAAUCCUUCAGAAGAAAGGAAGGAUGCUAGUCCCUAGAUGUUUUCUAUGCAACCUGACAAGGAAGACUAAUAGUCACUUAUUUAUGCAUUGCAAGUAUUCAACUCAACUCUAGGAACUCUUUCUUAACAUCAACAGUUACCGUUGGUCCAUGCCUUAGCACACAAGGGGAAGCAAGACUCAGAAGAGGUGGUGGAAGCUUAUUCCAUCAUGCAUAUGGUGGUCUAUAUGGAUAGAAAAAAAUGGGAGAUGUUUUGAAGAUAAUCAAAAAGUAAAAUGGAAUUGUUUAGUAUCUUUACUAUUUUGGUGUAAACAAUUGUGUAUAGUGAAUGUAGAUGAGAUUGUAGAUCUAAUAGGAAAUCUAUAAUUCCGAUUAAGGUUAUGUAAUUUUUGAAGGUGGCCAGCAAUAUCCUAAUGCUGAAGAAUACCAAUUUACCAAUGUUAAAAAAAAGUAGCAUAAAGAGGAUAAAAUGAGAGAUAUGCUUGUUUGAAGUUGACUGUUCCAAUAUCCUUCCCAAGAACUCAAUCGGUAAGGAAUGUUUUCAUUUGCCCAGUCGUUAGAACAUCUUUAAGGCCUUAAUACACACCAUCCUUGAUUAGAAAACAACCAAAACACUAUAAUUUAUUUCUCAAGAGCUUGAUUCAUGGUUGCAUUAUUGGUUAGAGUCUCGGGGAAUUAUAAAAUGGCUUUAACUUCCUCACCAGGUGUCCGAUUCGGGUGAAUCUUAUGUCGAUGGAAAGCUUAUCCAAUUCUCCACAUGAUCGAGAGUAGAAUUUAGGGAAAUGCAACAUGAGAUAAAUAACAAUCAAUUUGUAAGUCAUCCAUAUUCACUCAAAAGAUGGAUUUAGGCUUAAGAAACGAUUGGGGUAUUACACUUUUGUACUCAACCUUUCAAGAGUUCGGGUCAUAGCCUCAAAAGUGACCCUCAUAUUCUCCAUUUCAUUAGAAUCCACGUUUUGAGACUUGGAUCCCUCUAUUGUCAAGGUAUCACCUACACAAGCAACAAACAAGUUAGUUUAAAACCUUUCCUCACCCACAAUCUCGGAUUACUCAUACUCGAGCUCCACAAGUGUUGUAGAUUGACUAGUAACCCAUGAAUCCUUAAGGUUUGAGUAUGCUCUUGUCCGAAUUGGAUUCCUUAAGGUUUGAGUAUGCUCUUGUCCGAAUUGGAUUCUUGUUUGAAACUCAAAGAAUUCCCGUCGGACUAAAGUCAAGGAGUUACAACAUAUUCAAACGACAAAAGCACACAAACAAAUAAUGACACGAAUACAAGGCUUCAAAGGACUAAUUGACAAUCUAGUAGGAAUGUACUAGCUUGCUGAUUUGUUCUCGAGUCAAUUAGAAGAAACUAAGAAUCAAUAAUUAGAAAC